rnacentral:rRNA from 1 species
AUGGCGCCACCGCCGCUAGCCACGGCGGCGGCAGAGGAGUUCUUGGAGGUGCGCUGCGCGGGGUGCGAGGAGACAUUGGAGGUGGAACGGGGGUUGACGGAGUUCGUCUGCCCCGACUGCGGCACGGCGCAGUCGCUCCCUCCGGAGCUCAUGCCGCGGCCCCGGCGGAGGGCGCUGCCCCUGCCGCGAGGCGCCGCGGGCGCGCGCGGGGCCAGGCUUCCGUGCGGCGCCUGCGGCGAGCUCCUCAGUGUGCCGGUCGGGCUAUCGCGCUGCGCCUGCCCGCUCUGCGGCGCCGAGCUGGCCGUCGACUCCGCGCGCCUUCGGAACUACAUCCUCUCCUCCGCCGAGGCGGCCGUCGUGCCGCUCGCCGCCGCAUCUGUCCCACCGAUUGUUGCUGCUCGGGAGGCCAGAAGUGCUACAUCUAAAGCUUCUCGAGCCAAAUCAACCUAUAUCAAUAAAACCGGAUCCAAGAGCUUUGCGCGGAUGCGUCAGGAAGAGUCAAGAUCUUGUGACCCAUCUCUUGAGAGUCCAGAAGGCUCAGGAGACGACUAUGCGCCUGCCAUCGGUGCAAACAGGAGGGUUAGUGCACGCAGGCAUACACCUGGGCCCUCUCCCAAAGACCUGCAGGAAAGGUCAGCCAUGCAAGCUGCGAGGGCCAAACGAAAGGCUGGAGAUGAAGUCUCCACACUGAGAAAUAAGGUGGUAGUAACAGAGGAAAGUCGCCCCAAAAACUCCCAGGAAAGUGCAGUCUUGGAAUCUGCGAGGGAUAAAAGAAGGGCUGAAGAUGAGGCAGCCGCUCUAAGGAAGAAGGUGAUAGCGAUGGAGGAAAGUCAGAGAAAGCUGCAGGAGGACUUGGCGAGAGUGACGAAUGCAAUGAGUGCUAUGCAGAAGAUGAUGGCAACUGGUGGCUUACCAAAUCGAAAUGGGUGA